GACGAACGCUGGCGGCGUGCUUAACACAUGCAAGUCGAACGGACAGGCCCUGCUUUUGUGGCGUGCUCGAGUGGCGAACGGGUGAGUGACACGUGUGUAACCUGCCCUUGACUUUGGGGUAACUUCAGGAGACUGGGGCUAAUACCCGAUAGGAGCUCCUGCUGCGUGUUGGUGAUUGGAAAGAUUCGGCGGUGGGGGAUGGACUAGCGGGUUAUGAGCUUGUUUGGGGGGUAGUGGUUUACCACGCCUGUGACGGGUAGCCGGCCUGAGAGGGUGAACGGGCACAUGGGGACUGAGAGACGGCCCAGAAUGGUACGGGAGGCAAUAGUGGGGAACAUUGCACAAUGGGCGGAAGCGUGAGGUAGCAACGCCGCGUGCGGGAUGACGGCCUUCGGGGUGUAAACCGCUGUCGCCGGUGACGAAGCGAGAGUGACGGUAAUGGGUAAAGAAGCACCGGCUAACUACGUG
rnacentral:rRNA from 1 species